UUAAGAUUUAAACUUUAAAAGCUCCGACCCACUCAACUGAAUGGGUGAGAAACAAUUAAUAACUUUAUUGCACUAUUCAAAGAACCAUAGAAUUGUACAGUUGGAAGUGACCCCUUGUGCCAUCUAGUCCAGCCCCAUGCACUGCUGGAAUCAGAGCUAAAGAACCCAUGAUCGAUGGCCAUCAGACCUCUGUUGAGAAACCUCCAAUGAAGGAGGCUCCACCAUCUUCCGACGGAGUCCGUUCCACUAUCAAACAGCUCUUCCCAUUGUAAAGUUCUUCCUAAUGUUCUGCUGGAAUCUACUUUCUUGACAUUUGAAUCCAUUGGUUUGGUUCCUACCCUCUGAAGCAGCAGAAAACAAGCCUGCUCUUUCUUCCACAUGGCAGCCCUUCAGAUAUUUGAAGAUAGCUAUCCUAUCCCUUCUCAAUCUUCUCUUCUCCAGGCUAAACAUACCCAACUGCCUCCAUCCCUCCUCAUGAGGCUUAGGUUCCAAACCCUUUGUCAUCUUGGUUGCCCACCUCUGCAUCUGUUCCAGCUUGUCAAUAUCCUUCU